rnacentral:rRNA from 1 species
GACGAACGCUGGUGGCGUGCCUAAUACAUGCAAGUCGAGCGGACCAAUAGAAGCUUGCUUCUGUUGGUUAGCGGCGGACGGGUGAGUAACACGUGGGCAACCUGCCUGUAAGACUGGGAUAACUUCGGGAAACCGGAGCUAAUACCGGAUAAUUCAUCCCCUCGCAUGAGGGGAUGCUGAAAGUCGGUUUACGCUGACACUUACAGAUGGGCCCGCGGCGCAUUAGCUAGUUGGUGAGGUAAUGGCUCACCAAGGCGACGAUGCGUAGCCGACGUGGGAGGUGGAUCGGCCACACUGGAACUGAGACACGGCCCAGACUCAUACGGGAGGCAGCAGUAGGGAAUCUUCCACAAUGGGCGAAAGUCUGAUGGGGCAACGCCGCGUGAGCGAUGAAGGCCUUCGGGUCGUAAAGCUCUGUUGUUAGGGAAGAACAAGUAUCGGAGUAACUGCCGGUACCUUGACGGUACCUAACCAGAAAGCCACGGCUAACUACGUGCCAGCAGCCGCCGUAA